rnacentral:rRNA from 1 species
GACGAACGCUGGCGGCGUGCUUAACACAUGCAAGUCGAACGAUGAACGAGGGAGCUUGCUCCCUCCGGAUCAGUGGCGAACGGGUGAGUAACACGUGAUCAAUCUACCUCGAACUCUGGGAUAAGCGUUGGAAACGACGUCUAAUACCGGAUACUACGUGGCAGGGCAUCGUCCCCGCGUGGAAAGAACUUCGGUUCGGGAUGAGCUCGCGGCCUGUCAGCUUGUUGGUGAGGUAACGGCUCACCAAGGCGACGACCGGUAGCCGGCCUGCGAGGGUGACCGGCCACGCUAGGCCUGAGACACGGCCCAGACUCGUACGGGACGCAGCAGUGGGGAAUAUUGCACAAUGGGCGCAAGCCUGAUGUAGCCACGCCGCGUCGGGGAAGACGGCAUUCGGGUUGUAAACCACUUUUAGCAGAGAAGAAGCGAUAGUGACGGUACCUGCAGAAAAAGCACCGGCUAACUACGUG